GCCAGCCCGCUCAGAACUUAAGGAAUUGACGGGGACCCGCACAAGCAGCGGAGCGUGUGGUUAAUUCGAUGCUACACGAAGAACCUUACAAGGUUUGACAUGCAAGUGGUAGUGAUCUGAAAAGUGAACGACCCUUCGGGGAGCUUGCACAGGUGCUGCAUGGCUGUCGUCAGCUCGUGUCGUGAGAUGUUCGGUUAAGUCCGCUAACGAGCGCAGCCCUCACUGUGUGUUAUACGUGUCACACGGGACUGCCGGUUUUAAGCCGGAGGAAGGCGAGGAUGAAGUCAAGUCAGCAUGGCCUUUAUAUCUUGGGCUACACACACGCUACAAUGGUCUGUACAACAGGUUGCCAAGCCGCGAGGCGGAGCCAAUCCUAAAAGCAGGCCUCAGUUCAGAUUGUAGGCUGCAACCCGCCUGCAUGAAGAUGGAGUUGCUAGUAACCGCAGGUCAGCUAUACUGCGGUGAAUACGUUCCCGGGUCUU
rnacentral:rRNA from 1 species